rnacentral:misc_RNA from 1 species
CAAAACCCUCAAACAUUCUUGUUUGGUGUUGGGAGAUCGCACUUACCCUGCGGCUCCUGGAAGACAGCGGCGGAAAAGCACUAGCUAGCAUCCCCCGCGUAGUAAUAUUGCUCGUGGAAGGGUAUAGUUAGGGCCCGUCUCAACCUUUUAUUAUUAA